GACGAACGCUGGCGGCGUGCUUAACACAUGCAAGUCGAACGAAGUGGCGAACGGGUGAGUAACGGGUAAUCAACCUGCCCUUCAGAAGUGGACAACAGUUGGAAACGACUACUAAUACCGCAUACGGUGGGAGGGGAUUGCGUCGGAUUGGCUAGUUGGAGGGGUAACGGCCCACCAAGGCGAUGAUCAGUAGCCGGGCUGAGAGGGUGAUCGGCCACACUGGGACUGAGACACGGCCCAGACUCCUACGGGAGGCAGCAGUGGGGAAUCUUCCGCAAUGGACGAAAGCCUGACGGAGCAACGCCGCGUGAGUGAUGACGGUCUUCGGGUUGUAAAGCUCUGUUAAUCGGGACGCGGUACCGGAAUAGAAAGCCACGGCUAACUACGUGCCAGCAGCCGCGGUAAUUC
rnacentral:rRNA from 1 species